rnacentral:rRNA from 1 species
UACGGAGGGUGCGAGCGUUGUCCGGAAUCAUUGGGCGUAAAGGGCGCGUAGGUGGCGGGACAAGCGUGCGGUGAAAGCUCGGGGCUCAACCCCGAGUCGGCCGUGCGAACUGUUUUGCUGGAGCACUGUAGAGGCAGGCGGAAUUCCGGGUGUAGCGGUGGAAUGCGUAGAGAUCCGGAAGAACACCGGUGGCGAAGGCGGGUUGCUGGGCUGAUACUGACGCUGAGGCGCGAAAGCCAGGGGAGCGGAACGGG